AGUGGAUAGCCAUGCGAGUCACAUAGCAAUAUGUGGCAUACGGCUCAGUAACACGUAGUCAACAUGCCCAGGGGACGUGGAUAACCUCGGGAAACUGAGGAUAAACCGCGAUAGGUCAUCACUUCUGGAGUGGGUAAUGACUUAAAUCUAUAUGGCCCCUGGAUUGGACUGCGGCCGAUCAGGCUGUUGGUGAGGUAAUGGCCCACCAAACCUGUAACCGGUACGGGCUCUGAGAGGAGGAGCCCGGAGAUGGGCACUGAGACAAGGGCCCAGGCCCUAUGGGGCGCAGCAGGCGCGAAACCUCUGCAAUAGGCGAAAGCUUGACAGGGUUACUCUGAGUGAUUUCCGUUAAGGAGAUCUUUUGGCACCUCUAAAAAUGGUGCAGAAUAAGGGGUGGGCAAGUCUGGUGUCAGCCGCCGCGGUAAUACCAGCACCCCGAGUGGUCGGGACGUUUAUUGGGCCUAAAGCAUCCGUAGCCGGUUCUACAAGUCUUCCGUUAAAUCCACCUGCUUAACAGAUGGGCUGCGGAAGAUACUAUAGAGCUAGGAGGCGGGAGAGGCAAGCGGUACUCGAUGGGUAGGGGUAAAAUCCGUUGAUCCAUUGAAGACCACCAGUGGCGAAGGCGGCUUGCCAGAACGCGCUCGACGGUGAGGGAUGAAAGCUGGGGGAGCAAACCGGAUUAGAUACCCGGGUAGUCCCAGCUGUAAACGAUGCAGACUCGGUGAUGAGUUGGCUUAUUGCUAACUCAGUGCCGCAGGGAAGCCGUUAAGUUUGCCGCCUGGGGAGUACGGUCGCAAGACUGAAACUUAAAGGAAUUGGCGGGGGAGCACCACAAGGGGUGAAGCCUGCGGUUCAAU
rnacentral:rRNA from 1 species